UUGACAUGUUUGAGGAUUAAAGUUCACUAUUUGGUUGGUAAAUCAGUUAGAUUCCAGGAAUGGAAAGAUGUUUUCUCUGAACCACUGAGAUUGGCUAGUUGGCAUACUAGAAAAUGCAAUCAGCCUUCCAAAGUAUGGAUGAUUUGAGGAGUCAUUGUGAGGCUUCAAGGCUAGGGAAGAUCCAGACUUGACCCAUCUACAGACAGUGCUGUGGCAAAGGCUUGAAAUCAUGCAUUGCUUAAAUGCUAGCACCACCAAACACUGGACCCUGCCUAAGGCUGUCAAUAGCUACAGAUGGGCUAGCUAUAUCCUGUGUGUCAGGUCUCUGUCUACAGCAGGGAAAACAAGAGUUACCUCUGUGUUAGGAGAGUAGUAACUUCAUGUCUCUCAAACACUGAAAACAAUGUUUAGUGCAUGAAUAGAUAUAUUCUCAGAAGACAAUCUGAAGCCCACCAUGGAUUUUUCUUCAUAUGUUUCAUCUAUGUCUACACAUUGUCUCCAGGAGCUUAUGGCAUUCUUGGGUUAUUUGCACAGUGCCUCACAGGAGCAGCUUAACCUUUAUCUCCAUGUUUUGCCUGAGCACAUCUGAGUUUUCUAUUCCAAACCUAUUUACUUUCCUGUGCUAAUCCGGUGUUGGUGCAGGCACUGGACCACUUAGUGAAGGCUUAGGUGAUACUGUGAUAGGCUGAACAAUCAUGCUCUGCUCUGGCCAGGGCAGAUGUACAGAAACAGGUACCAGAACUACACAUAUGAGCUCCCAUGUGGGAAAGCAAUGCAGCGCACAGGACACUGCACUCUCUUCUAAGUCCAGCACUGCCAUGUGGCUGCACCUUAGGUCUAUAGCCUACUACAGCUUUGAAAUUAUGUAAUUUUAGCCAACUUCUAUUCCAAUUUUUUGGAUAAGGCUUUAUUAAAAACUUCAGUGUGUAUUACCAUU